CGUCUUCAUCAUAAUAGAGCCGGGGUCACCGACCCUGUUCUUCGUGAGCUCCACUGCUCUGCUUCAGUAAUUCCUGAUUAGCUGGAUUGGAUGAGCUCCGUUUCUGAUUGACUUAACACACCUGAUCAGGACAAUCCUGGAGAAAAUGGAUCUGCUGGAGAAGUACAGCAGUGGGUGAAAGAGAGGAGAGUGAAGAAAGAGAAGGAAGGAGUGAGCCACUGGCUGGAAGAAGAAAAAUAAGAAGAAACAGUGAUGAGCUUGUAGACCUAAACAGAAAGGACAUGAGGCAGAAGAGCAGAGCUCACGAGAGAGGAGGGAAACUUUUGACCAACUUUAGUCUGCUGGAAAGAAUUGCUGUUAAAAUCCUUAGAUUUUUGAGAAUAAAUAAAUGAAGUUUAUAUUUGAUAUAUUAAAAAUGUUUGUUUUUGUUUUGUUAAUUUAAAUAAAUACAUAAAUC